UACGGAGGGGGCUAGCGUUGUUCGGAAUUACUGGGCGUAAAGCGCGCGUAGGCGGACCUGCAAGUCGGGGGUGAAAGCCCGAGGCUCAACCUCGGAACUGCCUUCGAUACUGCGGGUCUCGAGUCCGGGAGAGGUGAGUGGAAUUCCUAGUGUAGAGGUGAAAUUCGUAGAUAUUAGGAAGAACACCAAUUGCGAAGGCAGCUUACUACCCGAAUAUUGACACUGAGGCACGAAAGCGUGGGGAUCAAACAGG
rnacentral:rRNA from 1 species